rnacentral:rRNA from 1 species
AGAGAGAGACAUGCGCGCAUAUCAAUAAGCGGAGGAAAAGAAACUAACAAGGAUUCCCUUAGUAACGGCGAGUGAAGCGGGAAGAGCUCAAAUUUGAAAUCUUCAAGGUUUUACCUUGACGAAUUGUAGUUUAAAGAAGUGUUUUCUGCUGAAGUUUUGGUAAAAGUUCUUUGGAAUAGGACAUCAUAGAGGGUGAGAAUCCCGUAUUUGACCAUUAUUUUCAGCUUUGUGAUACACUUUCAAAGAGUCGGAUUGUUUGGGAAUGCAGUCCAAAAUGGGUGGUAAAUUUCAUCUAAAGCUAAAUAUUGGCGAGAGACCGAUAGCGAACAAGUACCAGUGAGGGAAAGGAUGAAAAGAACUUUGAAAAGAGAGUUAAACAGUACGUGAAAUUGUCAAAAGGGAAGCGUUUGACACCAGUGUUGUUUUCUCGAAAAUCAAUUAAAGAUGGCUCGAUUUUGUAUUGCUUGAGACCUUAAAAGCUCACUGUACAUUUUUCGUGUCCUUUUUAAUGCACUUUUCGUUUAACAAGUCAACAUCAGUUUCUUUUGUUGUAAAAGGGUCAUUGGAAGGUGGCUUUCUUUUCGGAGAAAGUGUUUAUAGCCUUUGGCCUCUGCAAUCGGAGAGACUGAGGUCUGCAGCGUAGACUCUUCGGGGUUAGAUACAUUUGUGCUAAGUUAUAGCUUUUUAUAGACAACUUGUUGACUAUAAUUAGUCUUGUAGCUUACUCGCUUAUGCUAUUUUACCUACGCUUAGGAUGUUGAAGUCAUCGUAUCGCGC